UACACUGCCGCUGCCGCUGCUGCCGCCGCUGCUGCUGCUGCCGCUACUGCAAGUGCACUAACUCGGUCAUGAUAGUAUUAUUGCAAUAUAAUUUACAUUCCGGGAGCGCAUUUACGACCGCGUACAAACGUACGGGUAUUAUAUUAGUAUUAUUAUUAUUGUUCGUGUACGAAUGCGUUUUGAAACGUUUAAUUUAUAAGUCCGUUUCGCGUACGCAGUUUACGCGUCGUGUACAUCCGUUAUAAAAUCUCGCGGAAUAUUAUUCACGACGUCUUAAUAAUAACGACUUGUAUCCCGAGCACAACAAAUGGUACAGGAAAAAAACUGGUAAACACGCAUAAUAUAAUAACAUACAACACGCGGUAAAAGUCUUACCGAUACUUCAAAAUGAUAACCGCGUGUAAUAGAACGUCGAACCGAGUACCGAAGGAUCGAAUGAAAAUCCUCGGGUCGUUCUCGUCGAGUGUCUCUGCGGCCAAUUAAUAUAACCUUAUCCGGGAGACGUCAUCGCGAGGUGAUCGUUGGGCUGAGUUAUAGUGUGAGUAUAUAAAGUGUUUUUUAAAAAUUAUACACGUGUUUUUAAUAAUUUUUAUGUCACGUUUAUAACGCUACGAGACGCAAUUUAAAUGAUACGGAAUUAAAAACUCGAAUCUGCAUAUUUUUAUACUCGGUCGUCGGCUGUUCCCGUAAAAACCGUUUUUUCCCUAUUGUAUUACAUUCCGAAGUGUUUAACUAUUAUAAACUAUUUAUUUUUUUCUUUUUUUUUUUUGUCGCGUCUCACAAGAGCUUCUAUACUAGAAAUCUUGCUCCGGUCCAAUACUUUGUAGGGAAUUUCUUGUAUAAUUUUUGAUCUAGUCGGCCCGUUGAGGAGGUCAUUUUUCGAUUUUCUUUGUAGUAUUCUUAAUUAAUGGAAAAACCUUGGACAUUUUUUUUAUACGGUUGUUAUUGAUUUCUCAGUUAUCACGAUAACCGUGGGGAAAACACGACUAAUAACACUCCGCUCAGAAUCGUUCUUACGUUACCAGUGUUGUACCGUACAAAUAUGGAUUUAAUCACUCUAUUCGUCCCGUCUUCCAACGUCCCCGUUACAACAGUGGCACACGCAUCAGCAAUGAUCAGCCUUUUCCGCCCUUGGUUUCGUCUUUCGGACCUUACAGUUUCGUAUUUUAAUGUACGACUACGGCGUGUCUAGAACAGGUUAGGGUGGCGUCGACAGACAAGAACGCGAUUCGAUUUUCAGCGAAAACUUUGACGACCGGUUAUGAUGUCGCGCUCGCGCGAGAACACACCUCGUCCUCGCCUUUCCGGAUGGGACCCGAUUCAAAUAUUAUAAUGCCGCAGAACGAACGCCGGGCCCGGUUCAACGGUCAGAAUAUUACGGCCCGGUACGCGAAAUUCAACAGUAGCCAAUAUUGUUGUGCGCGUACGUGCGCGUUUCGUAAAUGUUUUAAUUUCCCUGUGAAAACCGCGUGUCGCGACGACGACGUGUAAUUAUUGCGACGGCGGUUUCGCGACGACGCUCGCCGGUUGCCGUUCGCACGCGGGUAUUCGAUACCGAGUACAAUGGCGAUAGCACGCAAUAUCGGAAUCUUGUCACGCGCGACGGAAACUCCUGCCAAAAACAACGUCGCGCAGUAUCGGGUACGUUUUUAAACGGGCAAAACACGCGUAUCGCUGAACUAGUGCGAACUUGUGUUGUUAUACUUUUGCGCCGAUGAAAACGAAAUCUUUUCGCGUGACACGAGUACAACACCUGUAGCGUUGCACGUGUACAGGGUGACGGUUUUGCCGUUGGGCGCUCGUUGUUAUUUCGCAAAGUUCGAAAAAAAUUAAACCGCUUGACAAUCUCAACAACAAGCGGAUCUGAAACGCCGUUACACCGUCGUCGGUUUUUUCGCCGCCCUUAUUUUCGGGCGCGAAACGACCUCGGCGGCCGUUCGAUUUUCCAAACGGUGACCAACGCUCAAACGCGUUUCGGCGGUGAAACGUUUGACGACCCGUCGACGAGUCGUUCCGCUUUCAGGCUCGAGCGGGUGUAAAGCGGUACGGUGGAGUUUGUGCGACGGACACUGUCCCGGACGGCCGCCGCUAUCCCGUCGUGCCCGAACUUGAAUGCGGAAUAUCUCGUUGGCGGCGGUCCGGCGAAAACCACGCGUUUCCACGCCGAAACGUAUUCGGACUCCGUUUGCGCGCGCGGGGCUUUUAACGGAACCGUAGCGGAUAACACGACGGGAACGUUCCGGGAACCGUGUCACCCUGUAUGCACAACAAUCGUACGGUCGCACGACGCGCGUAGGUACACCGCCUCGCCGGACGCGUGGGAUUCGUGCGACCAUCGCCGGCAGUAUCCGCCUGGCGGUCGUCGCCGCACGAGAGAAAAUGCGACUUGACCUUUGUCCGCGGCGCGCGCGCGCGCGCCCGUAAAUGUCCGACCGUUCCCACGGCGACGCUGACGAGAACCGGGCGCGCGCCGGCGGCGGACCGAUCGUUUCGGUAGUCGACCCGGACGGAGACGGAUGGCGUGCGGCUACCCGGUAACAACGUCCGCGGCGGUGGCGUGCCGCGUUAACGAAGCGCCGGACGGACGGACGGGCCCGAAGACGCGCGCGGCAUAAACAGCGUUACGCGUACAUUGUACGGCGGCGGCGUCGUCGGCGGUGCGUUCGGAUCGGAAGCCGUCCGUCCGGCUGCGGCGGCGACGACGGGCGCGCGGAAAACGUCUUCAUUAGGCCGCGCGAUGCGACGACGGCAAAAUAAAUAGGCUCGCCGACGUAAAAAAAAAAAAAAAAAAACAACACUGCCGGCCGGCCGCCGCAUAAUGCGCGCGCCCGCCGCUAGCCCCCUACCGCCCCCCCCUCACCCGGCCGCCGUCGUUCGUUCUCGUACGGACGUCACGUCUGCGGCCGUCCGUCGCCGUGUGGGAAUUUUUCUGACGUUCGUUUCGCCCGUCGUCGGCGGGGAGUCCGGAGUUUUCCGUCAAUUAAAACACCGAGUACGAAUAUCCGCGUACGCCGAGUCGGGGAUUCGUCAUCGUCGCGUCUUGUGUACCGUCGUCGUAGCGACCGUCUAUUUUUAUUUUUUUUUUUUUUUUUUUUUGUGCGGCGCUCGCGACCGUAUGUAGAGACGGAUAAUAUUAUUACGUACGUGACGAACGCGGAUGUCGAACGGUUUCGCUCCCCCGCCUCCCUCCUCUCCUCACCCGGCAAAAUCAAAAGUCGAUACCUAACCGUGUGCCUGACCGCCGCGCCGUCGCGAAUCGCCCGCCCUAAUAUCUGCAGUACGCUACAAGAUAACCGCAGAAAUACGCACGGACCGCGCGCGGAGCGAGAGAAACCGUCGGCCGGCAUUGAGCUGGAGCACCUAAUACACGGGUCGGGGAACAAACAGCCAAGCCGUCAUAACAAAACCGAAUGUAACAAAAAAUAAAUAUAAAACGGUUGCCAUUGACAACCUUAUUUUUGAUCUUUUUUAGAACCCGGUUUUCCUCAUUAUCUCGAAUGUUAAUGAGGAUUUCAAAAAAAUUGCCUAUUUAAAGUACCGCCCAGAGAACGUUUCCUUUCCGAAGAGAUGCUGUACUUGAUGAUCGGAUUAAGCUUUCUGGUAUUGUAAAACCGAUCGUUCCGCUCAGAAUCUAAAAUAAAAAACAAAAAACCGAAUUUGAGCCACUCUCGGCUACGAUCCGGCCUGGAUAGACUAGAUGUGUUCGUUUAGUUUCUGCGGUACGGGCCAUCGGGAUUCGCCCGGUAUCCCGGCUGGCUAACUGAUAGAACGCGGCGCCAACAAGAAUCAACGGAAGGGCGUGAUAAGACUAUUAUUAAUAUUUUAUCGGACAUUAUUAUUGUUUUCUAUAACGAUUUCACCGUGCGCUACAAUAUUAUUGCGUGUGUAUAAUACAAUAAGAAUUUAAUGCCGUACGGUUAUCGGUUAAUUCGCCGCGAUGCUCGAGUUUCGAACGGUCUCCGACGCGGAGCUGGCUAGUCCGUCGACGUCAUCGCAAAAACACAGGGGAGGGGGGAAAUUGCACGAUUAUAUCGAGGCGACCGAAAGCGGCGACGUUCUCAUAUGAUGCGAGAUCAUUACAAUAUAACGAUUGAAAUUUGCCAAAGAGAUACAUUGUAUUCAUUGACACAGAACGUAAGCUACCUUUUGUCUAAAAAAAAAAAAAAAAUUAAAAAAAUUGAUUUCGUGCAUUACUACGAUGGUUAUCAGUUUUUAUAUUUCAAACCGAAUUUUCGUUUAUUUAUUAAUUAUCUCGGUGACACGGAUGAACAAAUAAUUGUGUAGAUAUUUAGUCUAAAAGCAGACUGAGUCGAAUGAUUUCGGUUUUUCGGAAUAAAUAAAUAAAUAAUAGGUACUGCGUUUUCGUGCGGAUAUGAGAAAAUUGUAAUGUUCCAUUCGAAUGUCGUACGGAAUCAAAGGUUCCGCGCGUGUGUAACAACCGGACCAGUCCACUGUUUAAAACCGUUCGGUAUAGAACAAAUUACUUGGACUUGGACUGUGCGUAAAAUGUUAAUUCGGCCGAAUCCGUUUUGCCCGUAUCUCCGUAUACGUCAAUCGGACGUACUUUGUUCUUAUACAUACACGCAGUGUUUAUAGGCGGACAAAAUUUUAUUCCGGAUUGCCAAACGAUGAUUUUCUGAAAAAAAAACGAACUCGUCGAUUUCAUUAAACCAACAUUAUAAUAUAGCGUUGCUCAGGAAACACCUCAGGAGAAAGUCUCCCAAAUCGUCGCAUGUACGGUGCAUUCACACGGUGCAUAAAGUGUCGAUUUUUAUGUUUUCUGAUUGUUUUGAUGCGAUUUUUUCAUUACAAUAAAUACGCGGGUAGAAAUUCUAGGGGGUAGAAGUUUUUAAAUUCAAAUCGGUAAUUUUGGUUUUAUUUUUAUACAUCCGCUCCGCUAAAAAUUUGUUUUUCCCACUGUUGUUUUACUUGUCGCUGCUGAGGUUUCGCUUCGGAAUUUUUCACAUAACUUUUCAUCGUACUCAAAUUCGAAAACUAAAAUAUUACUCAAGGGCUCAUUAAACGUUAGACAUCCCGACGAAAAACCGCGAUCCCGUAAAUUGUUAAACGUCACAAGUAUGACCCAUAAUUCCCUGCCCCCUCCCCCCCCUGGAUAAUUUUUUCGGUAAAAAAAAUAGCGCAAAAAUGAAACGACGGCGUACAAUAAUGUAUUCAUAUUUUCAAAACGAAUUGUAUAUUGUGUUCGUUGAACCCGGCGGUCUUGGUGUUUUGCCCAGUUUUCGGCGAUUAUCGAAAAUUGUUAUGACGUUCGGCGCCCGAGCGUCAAGAUUUCGCAGCGAAUUAUUACGAUAUCCGCCGAAAUCCGUAAUUUUUCGUUCCCACGUAAGUUAAUAAAAUUUUAGGUACACGUUUUUAACACGAAAUGCCGAAGACGUCUAAAUAUGUUUUAUUGUAAUUUACGAGCGACACGCUCGGCGCUUCCUUCGGUUUCGUGUUAUGGCGGGUUUUUUUUUUUUUCAUAGAAUCUGUGUUGGCCGAUUUUUUUCUUCUUUUUCGCUUGAAAAGUCCGUGAGGGCGUAGAGCGAUAAAUCUAUAAACACUGCGACUUGCCGCCGGACGUACAGACUGCUGUAUUAUUUGCGAUAAUUACUGCGGCCGGAAGGUCGUUUUAAAUAAUUAUUACAUAAACGUGUAAGGCCGCCGUUUAAAAAUUGAUUGGAAUAAUAAAAAAAAACCGUAAUUACGUAAGUGCGACACUGACUAUCAAAUUUCGCCGGUCGCACAAGUACACCUACCGUAUUUAUUGUAUUUAGACCGUAAACAUGUGUACGCAGAGAGUGCAGAGUAGAGACAAACAUUGUAUCGAUAAAUUAUAACGUUACGUAACAUUCCAUCAUUUAAACAGGUAACGACGCGAUAUUUUAAUAUCAAGUACUCGUAUAAUUAAAAAUGCAUUUUGACAGAACCGAAAUUCGAACAUUAUCAUAACCUUACGUUCGUUUAAUAAACCGUGCGUACAUAAUAAUAUUAAAAUGCGUUACCUGUACGCGCAUAAUUACUAUACUCGUGUUAAAUACGUUGUAUUAUUAUUUAUUCGUAACAUUUUUUUUUUUUUUUUUUUAAUUCGCUGGUCUUUGAUAUUUCCAUACUAUCCGCUUUCUAUUUUUAUCACGAUGAUGAUAUGUACGCGGUAAUAAAUAAUAUUAAUAAAAAAAAAAACAAAAAAACAACUCCCACAAGCGUACAAUAUACAAAUACCAUUAUACUAUAGAAACGGCCGAAAACGUUAAACGCGUGUUAAUUGACAUUUGAAAGUUCAUAAUAUUUUAUGAUACGGUGCAAUAUUGUUGUUGUUCAAUUCGAUUGUGCGUGCAACGGUGCCGUUCGAUUAUUUCGAUUAAUCGACUUUCAAUCGAUCGACCGAUCGUCAUUUCGAUUAAUUUGCUAAAAAUGUUUAAAAUACGAAAAAAAAAUGUGGAAUUUUUAAUAACCCUCACAACUACUACGCGGCUUAUUAACAUACGAAAUAUCGAACGCGGGAUAAUCCCGUUGGUGUCAUCGGUGAUUGGCACAACGCACAAUACAACAGCUUAUCACUUUCACGUAACUACAGCGGCGGCCGAGGGCACUUUCUCCCUCUGUCUAAGGCAUAGGAGAACAAAUAUAUAUUUUCGCUCCCCUACGAUUAGACAAAACUUUAUGUAUAACAAAAACAAAUAUUUAAAUUCAAUUGUCAUUAAUAUUGUUUAUGAACCUUUCACGAAUGAAAAUAUUUUUUAAUAUUAAAAUUUCAAAUGUAAAUACUUUCUCGUAACAUAACAGAUACAUUAUGAGUUUACCGAUUGAAAACAAUUAUAGUUCUGUGGCAGUACAAUUCACUACAGAAAUCACGUAUAAUUUGAUACUCCAAAGUUAUACCCAAGUAUACCCAAAUAUGUGUUUAAAUCGGAGCUCGAAAUUGAUGACAAUGCAAUUCGGUUCACGUUUUUAAAGAAUUAAAGUUUAUCGUAGCCGUCUAAAAAUCAUAUAAACAUGCGAUAUACACUUGUGAAAGAGUAAAAAAAAAAAAAAAAAAAGCACAGAUAAGAGUUGCGAGCCGAUCCUCUACAUGCAUAUCGUGACGGGAAAUAUACGGGUCCAAAGGAAAAUUAGAUACGUAUAAUAUGGAUAAUUACACCUAUAUUAUACAUUUUCGUUCCCCCCCCCUCUCGCAUAUAAAAUAUGAUUCCCGAGUCACUUUUGUUCACGUAUCAACGUUUAUAAUCCCUCUGUUCCUCCCGUCGGUACUCAUUUGUUUGCUCAUUGCCGUCAUUGCUUGUAGUGGCGCAUUAUCAGCCGGAAAAAAUGAUUUACGAUCGAUCGAACACUAUCCGAUAAAUCGUUUUUUCCUCGAUUAACCGAUGUUUUCAAGAAAUCGUUUAUAAGAAUAAUCGAUAAUGAAAAAAAAAAAAAAUAAUCAAACAGCCCAAUGUACAUUCCGCAUAGUUUUAAAUUUUAGACGUUUUAUGCGGUAUAAACAAUUAUUAUUUCUCUCGGUGAUAUUAUAUAUUUGUAAUUUAUUUUUUAUUUUUUUUUUUUUUAUACCUGCAUACUCGGCCACUCGUUAUCUACACAUUAGUGCCUAUAUUAUGGAGAUGUAAAGUUCAAAAAAACCAGGUGUCUCGAUCGUUUGACAAUAUACAUAUACAUUAUAUAUAUAUAUCUAAUUACAUAUAUGUGUGUGUAAUUUUUUACCGGUAGUUUUACAUAUUAAUUUAAAUAGUAUAGUUUUCGUGUUGCGUGCGACGAGUGUUAAGAUAAUAUCGUUUCGAUUUUUCGUCUUUUUCGUACCAAACCAUUUCCAUCGAAAACCAAUACACCGUACACAUGCAUAAAUAAAUUAAUAUAAAAAAUAAAAAAAAAUAUGUGUAUACACUCGGCUACCUAAAGAGCGGUCGGUUUAAAAUUGUAAACUGUAGGUACAGCACCGCAAUAAGACGUGAAAUGUAGUCGGACAGAUUUAUCGUGUAGAUUACGCAGUUCGGUGUGUAAAAUAUGUAUUUAAAAAAAAAGCAUCACGAACGAUGAUGUUUUUCGCGGGGAAACAUAAAUUAAAAAUUUUUAUCAGGCUAAUGUCAAAAAAACAAAAAAAAAAAAAUUAUACGUAUUGUGUCGACAUGUCGGUUGUAAUGCAUCGCGUAAACACGAAAAAAUAUGUAUUUAAAUUUGUUAACAAUCCGCAGGUAGGUGUACAUUUAAACGACAGAAUUAUCUCGUGGAAAAUUUUAAUCGAAAUAACAAAUAUAAAUAUUAUAAUGCGUGUGUCACGUGAUGCGAGCACGCGGAUCGUAUUUAUUUAUUUAUUAUUUUUUUAAUUUCGAUGAAUUUUUGCGAGUAUUCAAAUUAAAAAAAAAAAACCUGUUUUCUUUAAAUUUUUUACGGUUUCCUAUAUAGUGUCGGACGUUUCAGUUUUGAUAAGCGGUAUUUUUAAUCCUUCACUAAUCGCAUAUCACAGACGACGCGUCGGCUGGUUCGGCACUCUAAAAAUAUAAAGCCGUACCUGUACAGCACAAAAUAUUGUUAUCAUCAUAUAUUUUUUUUUUUUAUUUUACAUCCUUAUAUUAUAUAGUUAUAAUUUUUAUUAAACUGCGACUGCUGCAAUACGUAGCGUGUAUAAUUAUCGUAUUAUUUAUAAAUAAUAAUGUAAAAAUCACUGUUCGUCUCGUAGUUAACUAUCCAUUUUUUUUUUUUUUUUGGAAUUUGAAACUGAUAAAAAAUCAAAUGCUAAAAUUAAAAACGGGCUGUCGACAUUUUUUAAACAUCAAUCCGCGGACAUUCUUCUUCUUGUACUACCGUUCUCCUACAUCCCGACUAUUUGGGGUCAGCUACCUCCGUCCUAAACUUCCGUUUGACCUGAUUCCCCACGUUAUCUCCGCCAACCUCAUAUUAUAUCGUUCUCAAUCGCAUCCAACCAUCUCAUUUUUGAUCGUCUUCUUCUUUUCCCUCCAACUUCUGUUUUCGUUACAAUUCUUACUGCUUCUCAUUCAUAUGACUUAUGCCCAAACCAUCUCAGUCUAUUUUCUCUCAUUUUAUCCAUUAUCGAAGCCACGUCUGGAGAAAAUUAUCGAUUUUUAUUCUAGUAUAUAAUAGUCAAUUUAUAAUAGUCAAUUUUUGUAAACCAUACGCGUGUAUUGUCUUGAGACCUACGCAAAUUGUAUUGUCGAAUAGCCAGCUACACGAUGACAAGUCCUGAAAUAUUAAACCUCAGAGUAUAUCAAUUUAAAUAGAUUUCACGUUUCACUGAUAUACGGAAGAAGUCUAUUGAAAACGUAUGCGUACAUCUUAUGUAAAUCGACGAGGUUUUUAUUUAAAAAAAAAAAAUAAUAAUAAUAAUAAUAAUAACAAUAAUGUAAAGAUUUCACAAAAACGACGCUCCACUACUCUCUCCCUUCAUGCAAAACGACACACUUAAAAGCGGAAUGUCUUGUCAUAUAACGACGAAAAUCAAACAUGUCAAUACUGAAAUUGAUUUAAAACUUUAUCGCCAAAUACAAUGUGUCCCGUUCCCCCAAACAUAUUAAUUAUGUAACAUUUUAGAGCGGCUCGUUUUCAAAAAUUGUGUUAAAGAAAAAAAUUUCGAGAUAACGAGUGACUAUUAUAACCAGGAACGUAGGGACCAAAUAUUGCAUCCGGUACAAAGCUUUAAAAAGCGCCCUAACGAACAAUAAUUCAUAAUGAAAACUCAAAGCUGAACGAUACUCACAGACUAUACUAUGAGUGUUUCAACUAUUAUCCCAUAUUUCCCUAUUAGAUUUCCUUAAUUUCAAAUGUGUCGUUUAUUAAUUUUUUUUUUACUGUUUAUAGGUUUAUAUUAUUUAUUUGUAAUAUUUUCUGUGAAUCGCGACCCGGGUGUAUUUUGUAUAGGUUAGAGCUGUACACGAUAGGUUUGCGUAAAUAUUUUUUAUUCAUACGUAAAUUACGUUUAAGACUUUUUGCAAAAUCAAUAUUCUCCUUCUCAUUUUUCAGGUUUAAGACACUGACAAUACAAUUGUAAUAAUAUUGGUACGUUUACAAAUAUUGGUUUCGCUAUUUUUUUGCUUAAAAUUAAAAAAAAAAAAAAACGUAUUAUUAAUAAUUUAUAAGAUACAGGACUGUUUUUUCAGUUUAAUGAAAUUGAACAUUACGAAAAGCGAAAGGAACAAAACGUUACGAGCGGUCGAUAGAUUCAAAUAGAUUCGUUCUCACAAAUCGCUAAUGCACGAAUACAAUUAUGUCGGCUGUCCGAAAAGUCCGAAUAGUGGGAAGGAGAAUAUCGAUUUUGCGAGAAACAAAAAACUCUCCGGUCGCCCUCCGAUACGGUUCCGGCUGUGACGUUCGCGUGUCGAACGUACGCUCCGUACGUCGUUCUCUACACGCGCGCCCCGCCGAAUUCGCAACGCCGACUACAACGGCCGGCCCGGCGACGGCCUACGCGUCGCGCAAGUACAUGCGUUUUUUACCAAACGAUAUUUACACGGACGGUAAAACGUCCGCCUUGCCGUUACAUUAUAAUAACAAUAUACACUUUGUAUUGGAUUCGUUUUCAGUCGGUUUUCCGUACCGCGACAUAAUAUAACGGUGCGACGCCUUCGACCGGCCGCGCGCUGAUUUGUAUCGUAACGCGUAGCGAGGUAACGUGCCGCAGCGGGCGCGCGCGUGAUAAUACAUAUUAUUAUUUUGAUAUUACGGCGGGGCGGAGCGAAUAAUAAGUCGCGCACUAUCUCGUAACGAUAUACGGAAAGAAUAUGAUAACAACAAUCGUUAUUAUUAUUAUAAACGAGUGCGAGCGAUAUUGUUUACGAUAUUGUUUUUCUUUCGUGCGCGUACCUACACGCAGUGCGGAGUGAACUGAAACAAAACGAUUCGCGUCGAACACGCGUUUUCAAUAAGAAAAAUCGAGUCUGUGACGCGCGACGACGGACGUUUGUUGCUGCUAAAAAAAAAAACCACGUCUCGCCGAUACGAUACCCGCGGUACAAACGAAACGCCGUCGUGAGGGGGGGUGGGGCGGCGCGGAGAGGCCGAAUUUCGCAUGGAAAUAUAUUACAGUUUUUUUUUUUUUUUUUAACAAGAAUACAAUGACAGGUCGGAAGAUUAUUGUAAUGUUAAUACGGUAUUGCCGCAGGUGUAUACGAACGGAAUAAUAUUACGUAUGCCUAUACAUUAUAAUAUAAUGAUCCGCGUUGCGAAUUCGCGUUGCACCGAAUAAAAAAAAAACUACUAAAAAAAUUCGUUGUUUUUUUUCCUAUUAUGUAUCACAGGAAUGCAACAUAACGCGUGAUUAUCAAAAUAUGUGUCGGAUCAUUUUUUUUUUUUUUCUGCGAGAAACGUGAUAAGUUGAAAAAUCGAAUUUCCCAACAGGUGAUAUUAUAAUACAACCUUUUUAUUUCCAAUGAAAAAAAUCCUUUUCUAUAUUUUUAAUUUAAAUUCAAUUAAAUAUUAAUAAGAUUGCUCGUUUUUUUAAUUUAUUUUAUUUUUAUUCGAUAUUUUUAAUUGUUUUUUUUGUCGAAUUGUCGUAAUAUAUGUGACACGAAAAAAAUUGUUUAGGUAUAUCUCAUAUCACCUAUCACUGGGGCAUUUAUUUGUAUCCUGAAAUGCAAAAAAACCUUUUAAUAUAAUAUAUUAUAUACGCUGCAGAAAUUAAUUAAAAACAUCAAAUAUUUAAAAUAGAAUCGUUCGGUCGUGAAGCGCGUUUCGGUAUGGAUUAGCUAUUUUUUUUUUGUUUUUUACUAUAUAUUAAAAAUACGCAAAAUCAUAUGAAUAUCUGCCUUAUUUAUGUAUUGGGCGAUUAUCUUGUGGUUUGUUCCGUUGCGUUUAAAAUACUUUAAAAAUGUACAGACUUUUGAAAAUAUGCCCUGAGAAUAAAAGUCGAAUCGAUAGGUCGCGGAUCAAAUUUUGUUAUGGACAAGUUAUUUUUUUACCAACCAAUAAAAACACGCGAAAGUAUAAAAAUAUGUGCAGCCUACUCAUCACCUUUCUCACAAUCGUUUAUUACUUGCCAUACGAACAGAGCCGUACUUAGCUCUUCAGUCACCCGAGGCAAACCUAAAUUUAUGUACCCGGCGUCCCCCCGUAAAAAAAAAAAAAUUCAAAUAUUUUGAUAGUCACAUAUUUGUUUAUUUUAAAAUGUAUUUGUACCAACAUAUCGAAUGAAAAAAAAAUUGUAUUAAAGAGCGCUGUACAAAAAUUAUAGGAAUUAUAGGUAGGUAGAAAGUUUUUCAGAAGCACGACAUUUAGUUCAUCUCAAAUAAUUCUCUACGAGUUUGAGUUCGCCAAAGCUACGGUCACACGCAGCUACAGUCAGAGAGAUUGGGUGUAGUGAAUACGACAUCUUGGAUUCGGAUGUUUUGUCUAAACAAAUGUUUAGAGGUUCAACGGUACCAUUGCGAUAGUGUCGCGUCCUUACUGCGCCUCUGAAUACGAAUGUCCAUUGCGACAUAUUGGUUUGUCGCAUUUCUCACGGCAAAUAAUAUUAUUCGAGAGACGUUACCAUUAAACGCGGUGUAAAUUCUCCAGUAUCUAAUUCUAACAGAACCGACGCGUGUAAUAUAUUUAAAAACUGUUAUGAAGGUAUGGGUGUAUUUUUAUCGUCGUUACAGUUUUUUUUUUUUUUUUUUCCGUAAGAAAUAUUAUUUUAUCAUUUUUAUGUAUACGCGUGUCUUGUUAUCGACCCGCAAGACAACGGUCCGCGUAUACAGCGUACGGGUGUGUACAAUACACCGCUUCGGACUGCACAGCGGCGGUUGCAGUCAAUGGCAUAACUAAUUAUUUUAUUAUUUCGCAUGAAUUUAGGACUAAAAAAAAAUACGAAGGCGGAAAAAAAAAACGCUGGCCGUAUAAAAUUUCCGUAUACAAUACAAUAAUAAUAUAAUGUUUCCGUUGCGUAAAAAAACGCGAUAAUCGUUUUACUUUUUUUUUUUUUUUUUACUUUUGAUUUUCGACAUUACGCGCGCUUAUAAUAGUAUAUUAUAUUAUAGGCGUACGAUUGAAAACCUGUAACGGUGGAAAUUAUCCGAACUGUUUUUGAACACAGAGGAUGCACGUUUACUGUUGUACCAGUGUCGGGUUUAAUGAUGGGAGGGGGGGGGGGGGGGGGGUUCGAUACAUUAUUUAUUUUUAAAGUAUUUACAUAAAACUGUUUAAAUGAUUUUGAUUUCUUAAACUACAUGACUCGAGCGUUUUGAAAACGGUUUUAAUGUCGUUAUACAAAGCCCAAACUAAUAUUUUCUUUCUUUAUCGGACUCAUACACAGUACAAUAAUUAAGUGCAAUUCAUUCGGUCAUUCGAUCGAAAUAAUGAAGUGUACAUAGGGUUUUAUUUUUUUUUUUUUUUACUAAACAUCCAAAUUUGUAUACAAAUUAUAUCUGUAAGCAAUCAUAAACCAUUGCUUAACGAAAGACGAUUCCGAGCGCAGUUCGGUAAUUCAUAAUUUGAAGUGCCGUAAUUUUUUUUUGCGAUUUUCGUUCGAGAUUUGAUUUCCAAACGCUUAUUAAAAAAAGGGAUAAAAGUCAUCUAAUGAUUUUGAAAAUUCUACCACAUCUAGGUAAGUCUAUUAUAAGUAUUAUUAUCAAGUUUUUUUAGCGAUUUUUCGAUUGAAUCAUUAGAAAACGUCGUAGAAAACUUCGUCUGUGUUUUAUAAAAUAAUAAAAUCGUGAAAUUGUACGUUUCCCUACGUUUUUUCCGACUUGAGUUUUUUCAGUUUCAAAAAUGACGUCACCAAUUAAAAAAUAAACUCUUUCAAAGUAUCGUCUAGACAAGAUGAUCUUUCAGAAAAGUGGUACACGUGAAAAUCGGAGCAAGUUUAUUAUGAAAAAACCGUGUCCACAGACAAGAAGAAAAAAAAUAUAAAACCAAUUGCUCCCUUGUUACGCUCGGAAUCUAAAAAUAAUUGUAACGACGCCUCCGAAUCGGUAUCCACUGGAGCGCUACUCAGAGGCUGUGUCUAGGGGUGUGGGAAUAGGGGUCGUGGCAUCUUCCCUAGACACUUUGGUUAGCUAUACGCUUAAAUACUUUUUUUCGUUUUUAUUUAUUAUAUCCGUUCAUAAUAUAUAUAAACGCAGAAUGAUUAAGCACUAAGCGUGCUCAGAGCUCCUCGGUAUCAUUUGUGUGGUAGUACAGAGCUUGAAGGAAAACAAGCAUUUUUACACCAGAGUUUAUUUGUAAGUGAUGCGUCGUCUACCAAUAGAAUUUUUAACGCAGGUUAUCAUUUGAGAAACCAAAGUCGGAAUCGCCACAGGAUACUCCUUAAAUGCCGUAAAAACUAAUUAUUCAAAUAAAUCGGCUUUAACUACACUUGGAAAUACCAACAGAUAUUAGAAUUUGAAUACACGCAAAACUCAACCGGCAAAAAAUGGGGUGAACGCGUUUAGUGAGUGACCGUGCACGCAUAUUUUAAAAUACACGUCCUCUAGAACUAAAUCUGUCACUGGCGCUACGCACAGCUACAUUGUCCGUUUAAUCCUCUCACAAUCUCUCUCUCUUUCUCCCGUUUUCCCCCGUCGCCGUCUUCUACGUCGUCCGUGUGCGAAAUACCGCCGGAUCACAUAACUCGCGUCGGAAAUCACUUGUCGAUCACGCGCGUCACGUACCCGUCUCCGCGGUCGUCGUCACGGCGGUCGCGGACGGGGAAAACAAUCGGCCGACGGGAGAUCCGCCGCCGCACGGAUACCCGCGCAGCGUCACCGGGGAAAGCGGCCGGAAGAUUCGGCGCGGGUUAUAAUGGCGCAGCGGUGUCGGUCACGUAUCCGAAUACGCGCGCGUUUCUGUGAAAAUCGGACGCCGCCCGCGUUCGCGGUCUCGUGGAAAUCGCGGCGGAGAAACUUGUCGUUUUUUUUUUUUGUGUUUUUUCUCGCCGCUUCCCCUCCCGCUCACGCGCGCGAUUAUCAACGUCGCGUCGUAUUUCGUAUUGACGUGUCCGGACGGUGGCGAGGACGUCGUUAUAAUAAUAUACGGGGCGGGCGUGCAGGUACUCCUGAACGGCGUGCGAGGAACGUAAAUUUUGUCGCGGUUAAUCGGCUGCGGCGGCGAUUCUACAGAGAGAAAGACGACGCGGCGAAACAAUGCUAAUUCUCGCCGCCGCGGGACCGCCGCGCCCGUACACCUAAUGCGCUCGGGUGUCGCCGCGGACGAGACUACCGCGAGCAGAAGAUCGGCCGGAUACGAUUAACAUAAACGCGGCGACGACAGUCGUGCGCGGAUUGUGUCGAGCUCGCGGGCGCGAAUAAGAAAGAAAGACAAAAAAAAAAAAAAGAAGAUAUAUAUUGUGUAAAGAUGUUAUUUGAAAAAACAAAAACACCCGCCGCGGAGACGCCGCGGCCACAGUCCUUUCCGACGCCGCCGCCGAUAUAAUAGGCACCCGCGCGUAAUGCAUCGAACGCAUAAUAACACCGUGUGCGUUUUCAGCCCGAAACAAACGGUUUUGUUUACACGCGCGCACCGUGUUAUAUUGUUAUCGGCUUAUCUGUGUACACGUCGUGUAAAUUAUUAUUGCCCGCGCGUACGCGACGCGACAAUAUAAUAUUGUUACGGAGUGUGCCGCGGGGCGCGCGCGCGCGGCGUGACCCGCGGACGUACUCUCCACGUACGAACGUUCCGCACGCGAAAGGUGAAACCCGUCGCCGCUCGUUGGGCGCUGCGCACUCGAUAUUGCGCGCGCAUUGUAUCAACAAACGAGCGCGUUAUCAGUUAUUUGUCGUACGCGACAUUGUUGGACGGCUAUCGUGGGUAAACACACGUGUAGGCGUGCGAAAACCCCAGGCUUUGGCCACGAACUGGACGUGUAACCCGUAUGACCCGAACCAUUGACCCGUAUUAUUGAAUCGAAAACCCGAAACCAAGACCGACCGACCCGAAAAAUAACGUUCAGAUAAAAACGUAAUCGGUCGAAACCCAUUACUGUUUGUAAGCGGCUUAACCGUAAUAAAAAAAAAAAAUUAAAAAAACGUGACGCGUCGAUUUGUAUUGGUUCCCCGAGGGAACGUAACAUUUUCGCUUGUGGAGGCCAAUCGCCAUGCACGACCGAGGUUUUUCGGGGCGACUACUGUGCCAGACGAAAAUUUGGCGGGCGGGCGGGCGGUUUUCAUAUUUUCAACGGGACAGUUGUAGUUUUUUCAUUUGCCACCGGAUCUGGAAGACAUUCGGAACUAAUAAUCCGUUUCAGGGGUAGGUGAGUUAAAAAAAAAAAAAAAACUGUAUUGCCCCACGAUUAAAAUUGUUUGCGCCACCAAAAUCAACUUACGAACGAAACCGUCUUUGGCCUUGACCCGAAUAAUGGGUUCAAAGUAGAGGUCACGAUUUGAAACCUAAAUUAGUACGUGUGGGAAUCCGCGUUUACGUGAAUGAAAAAUUUGUGUUCAUAUAUAAUCGAUUCGUGUGAAUUGAAUAAUCGUGUUUACGUGUUUUAGUGUUAUUCGCGGAUACCAAACGAUCGUCGUGCAGUGUUCUGGCACAACAGUACGAAUAUAAAUAAGGGAUGACCGGCCUCCGCGUAUUGCCGAUGUCCAGUCGUAAACUGAUUGUUAUUAUAAGUUAGAAACUCGAUGUACUCGUUUGUAUUACAAUGCGCGCACAGUCAGUAAGCAUAAUUUGCACGUAUACACGGAUUUAUCACGUUCACGGUUUUUGUAAAAACGAAUGUUAACUGCGCGCCAAUACGCGAACACACGUGUACACGUGAAAUAGUCGAUAGCGAGCCCUAGUUGUCUAAAUCCGGCGGGAAACUAACCGAGCUCCAGGCCUUGACGGAGUUAUAGUGACGGCAUAAGUGCAAGCCUACGGGGAAAAAUCUAGGAACUUAGACGAUAAAAAAACGAAAGCGUCUCUCUCGUCACGAACCACCCGGGCCGCAUCUCGUACGCGAUUUAGGGAUCGGGCGGCGAUUCACCGACAACGGUCUCGAAUAGCUACAGUGAUAUAGUUGUAAUAAUAUAUGCGACCCGCGUACGAGUCGAGAGAUUUUUACGAAAAACUGCACGGGCCAUUAUUAUAUUUUUACGCGAGCGUGAAGUCACGCCCGAGAAUCGUGGUGUUUUUUUUUUCCCCGCCGCCGCCGCGUUUUUAGUUUCCAAUUAAUGACAGUGUCGCGGGAAAUAGAAAGAACGAAAAAAACAACCAACAGAACGUUAAAUUUUCAAAUUAAAAUCGAUUCUGCGCCACUGACGGCGACGGCGGCUGGUCAUCGCGUAUACAGAGGGGCACGCGGCGUGUUUGCGACGAAAUACGGAAACGUAUUUACGCGACACGACUUCCGACCAGCCGGCGUAAUGGCAACGACACGGGCACGCGCACCGCGUCAUAAUUUAUUCGGUCGGAACCGGGGAACCGAGAAAUUUAUACGUAAAUCGGACGUAGAAUAAUAAUACAAUGCAUAAUCCGAAUUGAUGUAACAGAGAUUUUUCAGUCCGCGCGCCCUGUGUGUACGUUUUUUUUUUUUUUUACAAUAUAUGUAUGCGAAAUAUUAUUAUUAUUAUUAUUAUCUUUGAUUAUGUAUAUAGUAUAGAAAGCGUGUACACCCGCCCGUGUACACGCGUACGGUUAUUUUUUUUUAAUUUAAUUUAAUUUUUUAUUUAUCGAUGUUUUAUAAUGAUAAACAUCUACCGCGCUCGGUAUACACACACACACACGCACACCUAUACCGCACUCGUAUAUACGUUAUACGAGUAGUGCGUAAAUGCAUACCUGUACACAACAGCGUAAUAAUAUAAUACGGGCACACACCGCGGUCAUUGUUGCUCAACAACACACGGUCCAGUUCGCGGCCGUGCGCGCGUACAUAACGCAAUAUUAUACAGUGUUCGGAAUCGUGAUUUACACGAGUCGCCUCUCUUGUCCUGCCGCCGCCGCCGCCGCCGCCGCACGGGACCGCAUUAUUAUUAUUAUUCUAACCGUUGCACUCUGUAAUAUGAUAAAAAAAAUAUACGUGCGCGUGCGCGCGUGUCCCCGUGCGCAGGAUGCUCGCGUCCGAUUAAAACGCGUCGCCCCGGCGAACCGGCGUGCGGCAAUGUGCGCGCGCGAACUGUCGCGGUCGCCGGACCGGCACGGUGUCGGAAAUUUUCGGGACGACGGGGCGACCGGCCGCGCACGGGGGUCCGCGACCGGCCCGUAACCCGCGGCCACACCGCGCGGGCAACGCAGCGAUACCGGAGGCCGGGGCCGGGACCGCGCCGGACUUUCGGCGAAACCGACGGACGAUGCCGGGGCGCACGAUGCCGACGACAAUUGCAGGCGUUUCGGGGGACGCCAUUAACGCGAAACGGCGUUACGGCGAACCCUAAUGUCGUCCCGUGACAUGACGGCGCCGCGCCAGGACACUUUCCGGAACAAUCGCCCGGUCGUCUACGUCAAUAAGUCCGGAGUAGACUCUGUCGAGAUCGCGUACACCGUGCCUUCGGCCCGGCGGGUUCGAUUUUCGAUUUUCCCGCGGUUCGGAUUAUAUCGGAUGGUUCGGCAGGAAUCGUUUGUUUGCAUGUACAUCGCGGUUUUACAUUGACUUGCUCGCGGAGAACGAGGACUCUGUCCAGACUUACGAUUGAUUGUCAACACGUUUCCCGCGGUCCGAUCGGUGUGACGUUAUUCGUGCCGUCGUUAUUUUCGAUAACGGUACCCGAAUAGAGAAUCGGAUUUUCCGUUUUCAUCCCGUAUGUCUAUCGUGGAGAAAAAAAAAAAUGUUAAGAUACUGUCGUGUUCGUGUAUCCGCCAGAACAUAAAUAUAAUCCCGUGGGUGAAUUUCCGAGAAUUACUAAAAGCCAAACAAUUUGCGUCUGUGCGUAGACGGAGGGAGGGUCGAGCUUUUUUUUUACAUACGCGGACUUUUUUCCGAACGAAUUCAACCGUUGCACAGUAAACACGCGCGAUAAGUAGCCGAGACCGUUUUAACCGUUUCAUUAUCACCGUCCGUUUCAACGGACGUGACUGUUUAAUCGCAUCUGCGGAUCAAUAUUUUAAAUAAUUAAUUGAGCAGUAAAACGAUUAAACGUUUGCAUACGAAAGUCGGAAAAUCACUUCGAACGUUUUCGAGACGAUCGAUUUUCGUCGGCUACACGUAAUCCCGUCACGAACGCUCGUGUUAACACGCGAUCGCCUCUGAAUAAGUAUUUGUGCCGCGCGUUUUGUUUGUUAUGUCGACUAGAUCAUAGUGGGCACACAUGCAUUAUGUGCGGUCACUCGGUAGUGUAUCGCGUAUUAUCGCGUACCACGUCGUCCGCGUCGUAUUAUAUCGUUAAACAACCACGGUUUUCUCGUCGUCGCGGGCGAGAUUGACGUCGCAUAAUAUUUUCGGCGGAUUAUUUACAUUCUCGCGCAUUGUGUUCGAAAAAAUAUACAUUGAGUAUUGUGCUUAAAUACUAUAGAGAGAGAGAGAGAGAGAGAGAGAGACAGACAGAGGGAGAGUCGCAGUCUCUCUGUAUCGCUAUAUAUUUCUCUCAUUCUCUCUCUCUCUCUCUCAUGCGUGAGAUCUGUACCGGCCGUUCGGACGCAUGGCGUCUACACAACGACCACGAUGGCGCAACGGACCGAGUCGUAAAGAAUUUUUUUUUUUUUUAAAACGCGAGUUCUCGGUGUAUACGUGUAUAUUAUUAUAUCGCCGACCAAUGCGGCGCGUUAUUUAUGCGUCGCCGUUUCAACGGGGUUAUAGUGGAAAUGUCACAUUGGAUAAUACGCGAACGUUUGCGGCGGCGGCGGCUGCGGCAGCAGCAGCAGCAACAGCAGCGUAGUGUAUAACGCAUAUUAUAAUAUAUAGACAUAUUAUUAUUAUUAUUAUUAUCAUACGGACACGCGCGUACCUAUAUUUUAUAGUGAAAAAAAAAAAUAAUAAUAAUAAAAAAGACACGUUCGUCGAGGGAGCAGCAGCUACAGCGGUACGGUGUUGAACCGCCGCCGCCGCUACAAUAACGGGAGGAGGUUGUGCGCGCCCCGGCCCCGUCCCGGUCUAUCUCUCGGCCCACGCACGCGCGUCCCCCGAGGCGCUGACACCUUUACCGUGAUAUUUAUACCGCGGCCAGUGGCGGCGUGGUACUCGUACUUAUAAUAACAAUAAUGGUAUUAAAUCGUCCGUCGCCGCUCGUAUACGCUCGCGCCAGUAUAAUAACAAUAAUAAUAUGCCGGGAUAGAUAUGAGAAUAUAAUGCGAGUGUUUUGUUCACGGUCUCUGGCGAUUUUUCACCGGAGGACGUUGAAACGUUAUACCCGGGGACGGCGGCGGAUGGGCAGAGCGCGCCCGCAGAUGAAACGUACGCGCGUACGCCUGUGGCGACUAGACGGCCGAAUCGAAUGUUCCGAUCGGCGGCGUCCGAUCGCCACCCGCGCGAUUGCUCGCCGGUGAGCGGCGUAACUGGACCCGCCGGUUCCCGAAUUCCCGUUCGUCAUCGUUCCCACCCGACUUCCCGGCCGCGGCGGUUACUGCGCCCGCGUCCGCCUUUUUUUUCUUUACCGAAACCGUUCGAUCCGGACACCAUCCGAUUAGUAUAUACGCGUAAUAUCACUAUGUUCCCGCUAGCGAAAUGCACAAAGUCGACACUUUUGGACGUUAUUUUACGACGCUUCGACCGGAAGAUUGUUCGCCGCGACAUUAAUCGUCGUACGGCAUGCAGAUAUUUUUUAUGAAAUGUACAGGCGGUCCGUUGUUCAAAGUCGAGAGUAUAAAUCGGUUUUAAGUCUGGGCUAAAAAUGUUCACAUAGUAAAAACAUUCGAGUGGCUUGCACACCGGGCGAUUAAUUGCCGACCUUAAACGCAUUUGAUUUCGCGCGUUUGAUCGCCGCAUUUUUUUGAAGACCGCAUAAUAUUGUUGUAGCCAAAAUAAUAAUAUCGUAUUGCCGUAAUUGUGUUUAUGGCAUCAUCGAUUACGAGUACUGUUAAUUAUAAUCAACGAUGGUGUUAAAAAAUAACGUUUAACGAUUUCGACCGUUCGCGUAGGCUAUAAAUUGGAAAAACCCAAAGCGCUAAAAACAUCUAAAAACUAUCUAGAUAAAUGUUGGGCUAUCCAUAUCUGAUCCAGAUAAACGUAAAGUAUGCCUUUAUCUUUGUGUCUAGAUAAAUUUACAGAGAACUAUCUGUAUCUUAUCUUGGUGAAAUUUUCGUUAUCUGUUCUCAACAAGGCCGACUUGUCGUUGUAUCCAGUUAGCAAUCCGGUUUAUCGUCUGCACGUCUGCGAAUUAAUACAAUUCUCAUUUCGACCUAAACGCCACAAAUUUACGUUUUCAGUGUUUUGAGAAUACGGUGGCCGUGAACAGUGACACAGUGAACACGCGACCGGAGUUUCGUAUUUAAUAUCGGUUGUUUUUUUUAUGUUUUUUUUUUCUCGUCAUUAGACUAUCCCGCGUGCAUAACUAGAAUAUCAUUGUUAUUAUUAUUUCGUUAAUAUAGUAUAACAUCAUCUCGCGCUGCAGACUCGCCGCGUUAUUUACGGCCUGUUUUGUUCGUCCUGCGCCGGAGCCCGUUUUCAUUCACGCCGCACCACGCGGCCGCGCAGUGUCAUACGUACUCGUAUAUUAUUAUAAUAUUAUAAUGGCGUACCUACUGGACAAUAAUAAUAAUAAUAAUGUAAGUAUACGCGCGUGGGUUGCAGGUGGAAAAUAUAUAUUAUCACAGUCGAUUGAGUCGUUGCGCGUAUAUCCAGACAGAACGGAACGUAUUACGCGUAACAACGUAACAGAUACAGGCCUCGGGUUCAAAUUCCCCCGAAACCGUCAACGAAUGUUCCGAAAAAUGCAUUUCGAUCGCUAACGGUGUGUUUCAAAACGACCCGUCAAAGGGGGAAAUUUGCGAAAAAUGCGAUAUAAAAGUUGCACAAUAUACUUAUGGGCGGAUCCAAAAAAAGCUAGAACGGACACACACGGAGGAAACAUAAAAAUCAAUAAAAUUAUAAUUUAAAAAGAGCAAAAGACCAAUUGAAAGACCUCACUUCGUUAGGAAUUUCGCGUUAUAACUUGUAGUUUCCUCAGAAUUCGAAUAUAAAAAUACAACUCGACUUUUAAAAAAACUGCAAUUAUAUUUGCAUUAAAAAACAACUAAAAUUGAUUAAUUCUUUUAAUAUCUUUACCUUUGAAGUAAGUGUACCUGUUACACGAAUUGAAUAAUCGAAACUUUGAGAGAAUUGUCAAAAACACGAAACGAGAAGGGAAAAUGUUUGAAACCCAGAAAGUUAUACUUUUAAACAAUCAAUCGGAGAAUAUCCGAUAAAUUUCUUUUUUCUCUCACAAUUUCCCCCACAGUGAAACAUUAGUGACGAGACUAGAAAUUCAUCGAUAACACAGCUGACUAGCAAUACUUGAGAAGGGAAUUCGUUCGUCUAAAUAAUGAAGCACGUAAUAAUGACGAGUAAUAAUCGCAGUUGUUAACAAGGCAUUCCGUAAUUUUUAUGUUAUUGGACUGGAAAAAAAAAAAAAUGAAAAUCACUUAAUUACGCCCACCAGUCAAACAUGUCGUGUAUUAUUAUAUAUUAUUGUUCGUCACCGAGACAAUAAAGAAUGCGCUACUUUUUUGCGAUGUCAAUUGUUGCGUGGCCGAAUAAUCGCAGGUAUAACAACGAAAAAUGUCAUAUAAUAUUAUUUCGCUUUCAGAACUGUUACUUUUUAGUAUUUUUGAAUUAAUUCGUGGACCAAUUAAUCUAUAAACGGUUUUUUUAAAUUCAGAUACGUAUCCAUUGUAAAAAAAAAAAAAAAAAAAAUGAAUCGUUCGAAACCGUUUAAAUAUAUUAUAUUAGUAGUAAAUGUAACAGUAGUCAACGAAUGAGCGGAGUAAUUAUCACGCCGAACCCCGCCGUGCACUAAUUACACGCACUAUUACGGAAUUUAAACUAGUGUAUUACAUAGGUAUAUUCGAAACUAACGACAUUGCAUCGAACGCCAAAAGAUUCAAAAUGGAAAUCGCCCGAUUACAUAAAUUUGGUUACUAUUCGUAUGUAACAUCGGCACUGUAAUUUUUCUGACGGUGUGUAAUCGGAUCGGUCUCACAAAUAAUACCUAUACGAAAACACAAACGCAUACUCGUACUCGACAGCCGGUGCUUAAGAAAAGCGGGUUAUUGAACGAUUACUGUGUACUACUGUACAUUAUUAUCAUACCGAAAAAAAAAAAAACAAACGCCGAUACUGCCUGCACGUUGGACGUGAUUGAAAGGGAGGGUAUACUAUGGAGUAAUUAUAUUUCUAUCCGUGCGCAACGAUAAACCAUUGCUAACGAAAAACGAUUCCGAGCAGAGCGUGUUGUUUGCCGUGUGUAUUAUCCUUUGCCGCCAGUAAGGUGACCCGAAAUCGACAAAACUUCUAGAAAAUAUUGUCAGUUUUUUUUUUUUUUUUUUUUGUUUUCAUAUUUUUAACCAUUAGGAAAAUCAGCAAAUGGCCUCGUCAAACGCCGACACUAAAAUCAACAGACGCUACAAGAAAGUCCCCGUAACGUUUUCGGCCGGAGCAAGAUUACCGGUAGAAAGUUUCCGGCAGACGCGCCAGAAAAACACCGCGUUCGCCGCUCCGAUCAGAAUCUGAAACCGAAAACCGCCGACACUCGUACGCCGUCGUCCGCGGGGCGUAACAACAAACAGCGACCGCCCGAAAAUUCGCAUUGUGCAUUAUGACGUACAAUAUAUUAUCGCGCCCGUAUGUUUGAUUUUUAUAAUAAUAAUCUGUUGUUGUUGUUUUUUUUUUUUUUUGUCUAUUUCUAUUCCCCGAUAGGUAACAAUAUUAUUAUCAUGUACGUUUCCAAACGAUUAUGACGUGUGUGUGUGUGUGUGUUUUUUGUCUCGCGGGGAUUUCGACCAGUUAACCGGCCUGUCGGCACAAGCGGCCGGGCGCGUCUUUAUCGCGGAUAAAACAAUAUUAUUACCGCCGUCUCGAUGGGCGAAACGAGAAAUAAUAAUAGUAAAACUUUAUUAACCACUCUCUCCGACGACAGUCGAAUCCAUCCGGAUAUUACGAACGUAUUAUUAUUAUUGCUAUUAGAUUUUGUCGUUCCCGAGGCGAUGCGGGUAUUUUUCGUUCUCCCGCGGUACCCGGUGAAAUACCGCUCGACGUGACGUUCGUCUGCCCACGGAAUCGUUAUUAUUACCGUGGCUAUACGUUCGGGCGUUAUUGGGUACGUUGCGUUAUCGUUGAGCGGACGCGUGCACCCGCAUGCGCCGUCUCGCUCCGGCCAGCGGACGACGUGGCGAAAUCCGUAAUCCGCGUAGAAUCUCGCUCGGCUUUUCGAGUUUCGGGUUUUCGGUUUUCAUGGCAAAAACGCCCGUUCCGGAACCAAAAGAGGACGAUGCGUUCCCGAGGGCGCGACGCGUUUAUAUUUUUAGAUUCGUUUUUUUUUUUUUUUUUUAACGCGUUACGGCCGUUCGGGAACGGCGAAUUAGGUUUUGUUCUCGAACGGCGCGCGGAACGUUAUUACGACCGGAACGAUAAUCAGAGAAACGAGACGCGCCGUCUCGCCCGCCUGAGACAUUGGUCUCUUUUUAGUUUUCUCAUCGGUGCUCUUUACUCUGAGGCCGACACUGAGCGAGUGGUCCCGCGGAGACUGCGUAAAACAGACUUCGCUACGCCGCCCGUUACGGUCGGCCCGAGACGGCACGCGCGAGUGUAGCGUCCUCUCGACACCGGCGUGGACACACGGGCGCUUGGAAAUAACGCUUUUUAUAUUCCGCUGUACGCGUCACGACAAUAUAUUACGGAAAAUAAAAAUAAAAAAAAAAAAAAAAAAUCAUAGUCGACUUGGCACGCGUUCCCCAAGUAAUACGCGCUAUUAACGCGAUUGCUAUAAUAUCGCGCCGACUCGUCGGGAGUACACCACGUAAUAUUAUUAUAAUAUGCAUCGACGUUAUUAUAAUAAACGAUUACAAAUGAUCUAUGGCGCGGCGCGUUUUCCAGUAUCGGGAACCGGGAUACAAUAACACCGUGUACCGCGUGUUAUUGUAUGAAUAAUAUUACCCUUGUUACCAUAACCGUGCGGUUUUUUCUCCACAUUUCACCACGUUAUUCCGACCGGAAAUGUCUCGAAUGACCGCGCGUACAACGUGUGUACACAAUAAUAAAUAUCGCGACCGUAAAUGGGUAUAGAUUACGGGUAGAUAACGCGUACGAAUUUCCAUAAAUUAUAAUCUUCGUUUAAAGUAAUAAUAUUCAAUAAGAUCCGCGAGGGUAGAUCCGCGAGUCCGGAGACGAGUAUUUUUUUUUAUUUUUUUUUUUUUUCGAUUAACGGUUGGGCGGAUAGGUCGACCAGUUGGCGGACGUCGGGUAUAACUCAAUAGGAAGUAACACGAGUGGUUGACGUAAAAUCGGCUGGCUCGAGUUUGUUUGGCGCCCGUUAAUUUAUCUUCCAAAAAGGGAAUUUCUCGCCCGUGACAAUCAAAUAAACUAAAACAAUAAAAUCAUCCGUGUCGCCGAGGUAACGGUAAAAUAAACAUACCGAAUAACCCGUGUCCGUCCGUCCUUUGGCGGUAUAAAAAUGCGUUAUGUCUUUCUUGUUAUAUUUAUUGCACUUUUAUAGUUUUGUGUAUAAAAUGGGGGGGAGGGGAGAGGAUGUGAGAUAUUUUUUUUAAAAACGGAUAACGGAUAACGAAAACGUAUUGUCGAACAUCCGUAACCGAUAACCGCAUGCGCCAGCUCCGUCUUGCAAGCGUUUUAAUAUUAGCACGUAUAUUUCUCGCGGGAGUUUAUUGGAGAACAGAAAAAUCGUUAAAAUUAUCACCGACGGUGUAAAUAAUAAUUAUUCUAUGUUUUGUUUUCGUUUGUUAUAAAAAGAACACGCAUCAUAGCAACGUUCAGAAACAACAAUAUUACGUUACAUUGAAAGCAAAUAUGUUAUUCAAAUAAAAAAUGUUAAUCGAGUAGUUAAACUAGUUGUGCGUAAAUCAUAUGUGUAGGUAUUCAACAUUUACAUAAGAAAUCAACUAACUACCUAGAAAAACAGCUAGACUGAUUUUUUUUUUUUUUUUUUCCAAAAAAACAAGGUGAACUCUUCGAUGCUCUGCAAUUAUCAUUCAUCGAAGGAUAGAACGCGUUAUUAUGGGAUAAUUAAUAUACCGCGUAAGAUUAAUUGCGUGCAAAUAAUACAUAUCGUUAUAAUAACGCGUAGUGGUAUUUGUAUAGAAUUAAAAUUUAAAAAAAAAAAAAUCUCUAGGUAGCGAUAUAAUUAUGUAAGAUAAUAUUAUUUCUGUGAUUAUUUAUUACAGAAAAGUGUACGUUUUUUUUUUUCUUCAUAUGAAUUUAAACGUUAUAGUCGGAAUAAUAAUUAUGUAUUAACUUUAAGUAUUAUUAUGUCGUUAACAUAUUUAGCCGGUCAAAAAAAUAAAAAAAAAAAACGUUACAUUUUUUUUCUUCUCUUUACUGAGGGUAAUUAAUAAUACAUAAUAUAUAUAUGUAUACUAAAGAAUUUGUGCAUUUGAAAUAAAAAAAAAUAAAAGAUUAUUUUGAACACACGGAAUUAUUACAAUAAUUAUGCUUGUGAAAUACGAACGGACAAAGACGGCGGCGGCGGCGGCGGCGAAUGCUCGGAGAUAGGAGAUCGGGUAGGGCGGUCGAAUCUACGUUGGUGGGAUCGUCGCGAAGAAGACCGUAAAAAGUAAGCGGAUAUGUAAGUGCGUAUUUUUUUUUUUUUUUUUUAUAUAUAUACAAUGAUACGCACGUAAAGGGAGAAAGGGACGCGAGUAAAACAAAUUGACCGAUUAAAAAUCGUCGUCAUCGAAAUGGUUUAUUGCCCGCGAUCAUAAUGUGCGAGCGAGUCGCAAUGUACCCGCGCGCUUCGUUGCGCAACGCCGUUGUUAUUGGCCGUCCGGCGUGCCUACGCCGUUCGAUAACGCGCGCGAAUUUACCGUGCGAUCGGAACAUUAGCGGGCGAGCGCGUCAGCCGCACAAACGGUACCCGUGUGACAAUGGCGUAAGAGAAACGACGGGAUGUUCAGGAAGACGGGCAGAAGUUGCGCGCGCGCGCACGUCGCGGACGCGAGCCCGCGGCCGGCGACAGGCCGUGUCGCGGGCCGGAGAAACACCGUGCGGGCGCAAUGCGAAUUGGACGAGACGGUAUCGAUAAUAUUAUUACGACGAUCGGGGCACAAGGAGAAAUGACGGCGGCGCCGCGUUGUUAACGGACGGGGGGGACACGUGAGCGCGAGCCAUAGACGCGGCCGUGGCGUGCCCGGAGGGGUGGUGGGCGGGGGAGGUCUUUAGUGCUCCCAGAACUAUCCGACAAGCGUAUUUCUACUAUCGAUAAGCAGAAGAAAAUACGGAUUGCAUACGGACAAUUGCGGGCGCGAAAACAAAAUAAAGUUAAAAAAGUUAUGAUACAUUUUCGUAGUAAAAAAUCGUAAACGAAACGCGUAGUUGCUUAUUGCGUACGUGUCGUGGUGCCGUAAAAGAGGAUUGUGGGAGCGUUGCCCCUAUGGGUCCGCGACGUGUCUAUGGCUUUAGCAUCUACCAACGGUGGUGUAAAUUCGCCCGUGUAAACGUAGCACUUGCGCCAUCAAUUUCAGUUGCGGUGGUGCAAAAUUGUCUUUUCGCAACACCAGCGUAUUCGGAAAAUUUGUUAUUUAACAUUCAAACCACAAAACUAAUUGCGAUUUUCGUUAUGAUAUAAUUUUAUGAUUACGCGGGUAUGCCAUGAGUUAUUGGCCAUGGCGCACGCAAAUGCGUGCGUCAACCUAAAUCGCGUGUAUUGGAUCCGCUCGCGUUGUUCGUUCACUGUUAUGCUCGCCUCACACACUAGUUAAUAUAAUAUUUUGUAGCCAAUUAAGGUUUUACUUUCAAAUGAAACAAUUUAGUCUUUGAUUUUCGCGAGAAAAAAAUUGUUAGAAAUGGAAAUGGAAAUUUUUUUUUUUUUUUUUUUUUUUAUUAAUUUUACGAUUUUUUUAAAACGCAUUUAACUCAUAAUUCAAUUUGUUUGAACUUGUGGCGGUUUUGCUCAUGCGGACAUUAUUACACUACGGGUUGAUUGUCCUAUCGUAACAACGAACUGGAGAAUUAAUAAAAUUGUUCUUAAUCGAUUUUUAUUGAAAUUCCGAUUCCGUAAAACUACGUAAACGUAACACCGGCAACCUAGUUCGUUCUCAAUUUGUUGUACUUGUGUCCGUGAACACAAUUCCCCACCCGCGUGCCCUUCAUGUCUUAAUAUUUUGAACCCGAUGUUAUGCAUUGAUAAUCAACCUUAAUAAUAAUAUAAUUGUCUUAAACAAACGUAUCCCGAACAUCUAUUUGAAUUUUUCGAAUUUAUUUUCGAUUUAAUUUUGUUAACAACACGUCACUGGCCCUGCAGAUAUCAAUACUACAGUUUUACUUUUCGGAUGUCGUGUGGCUCAUUUUCGCUCAAGGCGCAGUCCACUAGUUAAUAGGUCGACGGUCAUGAUGGCUAAAUAACUGCAGGUAGGUAUUAUACCAGCGUUCCGUGCACAUAAUAAUACACACCACGUCUUCUGCCGAGGAAUAUAAAACGAGAACCCCAUAUUAUACGCAAUGAUAUCUUAUUAUUUUAAAAAAUAUGGUAAAAAAUUAAACGUACCGCUGACAUACCUAUAGUUAUUUAGCCGCGUAUCUAUGGAUACAAUGCUACAGAUUCGAACAAAAUAUAGGUUCUUGUAUAAGGCGUACGAAUGAUUCCACUUGUAACAUUAUAAUGGUAUAGAUGCCAACGACGGCAGUUAUCCGAAUCCGUAUGGUCCAAGCGGUGUUGUCGCCUCAGCAACGCGUACAAAAUCUGAGCGACAACAGAUUAUCGGCGAUGCACUGACGUGUUAUUUGACAGUGGCUGUACCUAAUCAAAUUUUGAACACGUUUGUUGUGGGUGUAGACGGAUCCCGAGAAAUACCGUUAGCAAACAAUGUUACGAAUGUGCGUGAAAUAGGUGUUAGAUGGUUACACACUUAGAUGUUAGGUGCCAAUGUUUCAGAACACUUUUGGCAGAGCAAAAAUAAACUUAUCUGAAAUCGCAAGUUCAGAGUUUUAAAAUUGUACCAUAAUUUGAGUACUGCAUGAUUAAACGCAUUGUUCUGUAUUGUUUCACAAGAUUUUUUUAAAUUUUAAUGUUUAUUAUUCUAAUUCGUUUAUUAUUAUUAUUAUUUUUAUUUAUUAAUUCAAAACAUAAAAAGUGAUUCGACUAUUAUAAUGCGGCUUUGAUUUUAAUCGUUUUUUUUUUUUUUUUCCAGUGACUUGGCUCAAUUGUUGACAUUAGAUUCAGGAAAUACGAUACUGGUUAAAUCGAUUUGAUUUUUCUCACGCUGUGCAUUUGAAAGAUGCACCAUAGUUUUGAGAGCCACUGCAGUAUGCAACGUAUAACUUAAAACGCACGGAAAGAAGGAAAAAUCACGACUCAUCUGAACAACGCGUACUGAAAUAGAACUUUGACGUUGGACGUACAUUGAUUUAAGAGGACGCCACACCAAAAAUGAACAAAUUAUGCAGACUAAGUAAAACUAUAGCUUAACUUUGAUUUUAGAGUAAAAGUACCGUAGAAUAAUGUAGAGAAAAGUAUGAAGUUAAUAGAAAAGAUAAUUUUGAAGGGAAUCUCAUCGGGUGUUUGUGUUAUUCUAAAUAUACAGCCCGAUAUAAAAGGCACAAAAACGUUUUUGUUCUAAAACACAUUUGAGGAGUACAAUUUCGCUUAUCGAGUAUUUAAUCUAAUAGAUAAGAUUCUUCCAACAAAUUUUUUGUUGACACGUGACUUGGUGUUCCAAAGCAAAUUA